AAAAGCCAGUGAGUCUCUGCAUUUGAGGACCAGUGACAUCACAGAACAAUGUCUGGACUCCUGUAUGAACUGGAUUUAAGUGAGGGGGAACUGCACAAAGUCAUCAGCCUCUUUUCCAGAGUCAUUGAAGUUCAGUGGCAAAUCAAAAGUCAGGAUGACUGGCAAUGACCCAAGAUAUAGUGGAUGACUUUGGUAUCUUCAAUGUCUGACUGAACUCUAAGCUCUCCACAACACCUGCUUCAACCGCCUUCAUGGCCAUUGGAACAAAUUGUUCUCAUCCGCUCAUUUGUGUCCAGAUAUGACAUAACUAAUGGAUGAGUUUUCAUCUCAUUUACCACUGGGGUGGGUCCCAAAGGUCAUUCCUCACUCUUCAAGACAUCGAUGCUGAGCAGGUUCCAAAGCCUAGACCCUGGGACCAAGACAUCUGGAAGUUCUCUCUUCCUGAUCUUUCAGCGCUCGCAAGGUCACAGUCUCCAAUCACUUCUUCUAAGAUGAAAAAGAAUAAAUUCAGAAGCAAAGGAGUGACUUGUUUAAUCAAACCAAAUGUUAGUCUUAGACAGGAGAAGGAUCAAAGCAUCUCUUAUAACAAAAAUGGCCAAAGUCUAUCUUGCUGAAGGCACUCCCAGUUCCAACCAUGGAGCCAAUAUAAAAGUCUUUUUCUAACUUUAUAGUUAGCAGAACCAAUUACAGAAUGUCUCUCUAGAGUUUUUUUCCAGGCACAUCUAUUACUUAUCAUCACAGCUCUUCCAGAAACUGACUAUCCAGGUUUCUCAACAUGGGGAAACAUAACAGAGGCACUUUUCCAGUAUAUUGCUUUAAAAUUCCAAACAGGCCCUGAGAAGCAUACAGAGAUAUACAUAAUCAGCCCUUCCCAUGGAAACAAACAAACAGAAUCACCUUGGUUCCUGAUCCCUCCCUGCCCAGAGUCUUUAGGGAAAAGGGAUCUGCAAAAGACUAAAGUUAGAUCAGAAGAAGGUUCUCCAAGGAGUCAUUGUUUCAUUUUGUAGCACAUCUCCAUGGCACUGGAGCUUCAAAGAUGAGUCCUUUGCUAAUCUCUCUAAAGGGAACAACAAGUUCAUAUGCUGAAAAGACUUAUUUUUGUCAGAGAUGCUUAUUAGAUUAGAUAUACUUUAACAUAGAGGAAUGGAAUUUUUGCAUUUGAAAGUAUUUUGUUGCCCAGAAGUGGAGUGAGUCUAUUGGAUGAUGGUAAUGAUUAUGUUUGGUAUUGAUCUUUAUCACCAUCAUUGAUUUUUUUCUCAUCAAUAUAAUAAUUAUCAACAAAUAUGAACAUUUCAGGAUUUUUGUUGUUGUUCAUUUUGGUUAUUUAUAUCUGACUCUUUGUGAUGCCAUUUGGGCUUUUGUUGUUUAUUAUUUUGGUAAAGAUACUGAAUUAGUUUGCCAUUUCCUUCUCCAGCUAGUUUUACAGAUGAGGAAACUGAGGCAAAAAGGAUUAAGAUUGGAGUAAUUGGUUGCUUCUUUUUCUAGUUCAUUUUACUGACAAGGAACUGAGGCAAAUGGGAUCACACAACUAGUAAGUGUCUAAGGCUGGAUCUGAACUCAUGAAGAUGAAUCUUUCUGAUUCUAUGGCCAGCACGCUAUCCAUGUACCAGUAUGCAAAGAAAAAAAAAAUGAGUUGUAGAUGACAUUGUGAACUUGGUUAUGUUUAGCUUGGUUUGUUAUUUUAUACUAAAUUUAAGCUUGUCUUAAAAAGAAUGUAUAGAAUGCUGGGAUGGAAUCUUAAAAACAAUGGAUAGAGUCAGGACAACUUGGGUUCCUAUGUUCAAGUCUGACCUCAGACAUUUAAUAGCUCUGUGAUCCUGGGCAAGUCACUUCAUCCUGUCUGCCUCAGUUUUUUCAUCUGUAAAAUGAGCUAGAAAAGGAAAUGGCAAAUCACUCCAUUAUCUUUGCCAAGAAAAACCUACUGGGAUUAUGAAGAGACAUGAGUGAAACAACUGAACAAUAACAAAAUUACCCCCAUGUUCCCUUUUGAACUUUAUUCUGUUUUUUUUUAAUAUUUCAAUGAUUUUUUUUCUUAGCUUUUUUUCCCUUGCAUAUUUGUCACUACUACUAAUUAAGUGGUACAGUAGAUCAAACCCUGGGACUGGAGUAAGGAAAACACAAGUUCAAAUUUAACCUCACUUACUAUCUGUGUCACUUAACCUUUGUUUCCCUCAGUUUCUUUAUCUGUAAAAUGGAGACAAUAAUAACACCUACCUCCCAGGGUUGUUGUAAGGAUCAAAUGAGGUAAUAAUUAUGAAGCAUUUAGUACAGUGCCUGGCACAAAGAAGGAGCUCUUAUUACUAACUAAUUAUACCCCUAUUAAAAGCUUUCCUUGGAAAGAGAAAAGUAUAGUUAAUCAAAAAAAAAAAAAAUAAACACACACACAGAAUAUUAGUAUAUCUAUUUCUACUUAUAUAUACCUAUAAAUCUUUGGACACAGAGAGAAUAUUAGUAUAUAUUUGUACAUACACACACACAUAUAUACAGAGAAUAUUUGUAUAUCUGUACUUACAUAUAUCUAUAUAAAUAUAUAUGUAAGUAUAUAUAUAUAUACAUAUACAUAUAUAUGUAUAGUCAAACAAAUUGACACACUGGUCAUGUUUGAAAAUGUUUAUCUCAUUCUGUACAUCUCUAGUUACUUCUCUUCCAAGAGAUGGUAGCAAGCAUGAAUUUCUAAGCAAUUUGUAGAUAAUAAAUGAGUCCUUGCACUAUCCCAUGGGAUAGUCUAGUUACAUCAUCACUGGAUUAUGGAGGAGAAAUGGAGCACUCUAAAGGCUUACAUAGCUAUUGGUAAUACCAUGAGUCACACAAUCGAAACUGAAGUUGUGACAAGCUGGGGGCAGGGUUGCAUUUGGCCUAAUUUAGAGAGAGGUGAGCAAGUAUAAUAGAAAAAUACAUUGGAUUUAAUAUUCAGAAAACAGUAUUCAAAUCUCAGCUCAUCUACUAUUCAUUUAUUCUUGAGAAAGUUAUCUUAUCCCUUAGAGUCUUCAGCUUCUUCAUCUGUAAACUGGAUGUAAUUAUAACAAUUGCUACUUAACUCACAGGGUGAGGAAAGCAGUUUGCAAAUUGUAAAAUGGUAAACAAACUGGAAUUGUUUCUGAGAAGCUUUGUGGUACAGGUAGGAAACAUGCUGACUUUGGAGUUAGAGAACACUUACCACUUUUGUAACCUUGGAAAGUACCAUAAUUUCUCUUGGCCUCAGUUUCCUAAAUAGUAAAAUGAGUAUUUUAAAUAGAUGAUCUGCCUGAGGCAUUUUAAAAACUCCUACUUUCAGAUUCACACUCAAUUAGGAAUAUGGGAAUGAUAUUUCUCAAUGAUUAGAGGGAUUUAAUAGUAUCCCAGAGAGAGAACUUUUCUUGGGAUUCCUAAUCCAGGAAAGUAAACAAGAUUCUAUUAAAGUCAAAAUUCCUAGUAUAGGGUAACCAAAUCUCAGGAUUAGAUAAAUAUCAGAAGGUGAUGGUAGCAACAGUCCAAGGCCAGGAUUAUUUAUACUGAGUACAGACAGAGAGGAGCAAUAAUCAUUGGUAAAGUAAUAGUAUGCAAUUCCUCCAUACAAUAUAAUAUUUUAUUAUGGCAGCCAUACAUUAAUCAUAUCUCCUGUUUUCUCUGCUGUGUUACACUGGGAUUGAACAGUUAUAUAAAAAGAAGCAUAACAUGCUUGGAUGUGUAUAUGUAUGUGUGUGUAUGUAUGUAUGUUUGGGGAUCAUAAGUGAUGUCUCAAGUAUGAAAAAGGGGGGCAUUUCUUCAAAGAAGUUAGAGAUUGUGGCUAUGGAAUAUUGAAUAUAAUGUCAGAAUUUUUUGGUUAAUUUUGCUGAACUGUUUUUCUGUUCUUAUCUUUUGUUAUAAGAUUUUACUUUUUAGAAGGGAGAGAAGGAAGAGACACAUUGGAAAAUGUAGAUGAUGUGAAAACAAAAAAAAUGUCAAUAAAAAUUUAAUUAAAAAAAGAAUGAGGGAAAUGAUUUUUCUAAUUUAUAUGUUUCUAAUUUAUUCUAAUUUUAUUAAAGAAUCCCUCUGCC
rnacentral:lncRNA from 1 species